rnacentral:rRNA from 1 species
UGUUAAUAAUUUAUAUAAAAUAUUUUGAUGAAUAUUUAUAUAAUAUUAACAUAAUUCAUAUUACUAUUUUUUUUUUUAGUAUAYGAAAUUUUACUUUGAGAAAAUUAGAGUGCUUAAAGCAGGCAUAUGCCUUGAAUACUCCAGCAUGGAAUAAUAUUAAAGAUUUUUAUCUUUUUUAUUGGUUCUAAGAUAAGAAUAAUGAUUAAUAGGGACAGUUGGGGGCAUUUGUAUUUAACAGUCAGAGGUGAAAUUCUUAGAUUUGUUAAAGACAAACUAAUGCGAAAGCAUUUGCCAAGGAUGUUUUCAUUAAUCAAGAACGAAAGUUAGGGGAUCGAAGACGAUCAGAUACCGUCGUAGUCUUAACCAUAAACUAUGCCAACUAGAGAUUGGAGGUUGUU